AUUGAACGCUGGCGGCAUGCCUUACACAUGCAAGUCGAACGGCAGCACGGGUGCUUGCCCCUGGUGGCGAGUGGCGAACGGGUGAGUAAUACAUCGGAACAUGUCCUGUAGUGGGGGAUAGCCCGGCGAAAGCCGGAUUAAUACCGCAUACGAUCUACGGAUGAAAGCGGGGGACCUUCGGGCCUCGCGCUAUAGGGUUGGCCGAUGGCUGAUUAGCUAGUUGGUGGGGUAAAGGCCUACCAAGGCGACGAUCAGUAGCUGGUCUGAGAGGACGACCAGCCACACUGGGACUGAGACACGGCCCAGACUCCUACGGGAGGCAGCAGUGGGGAAUUUUGGACAAUGGGCGAAAGCCUGAUCCAGCAAUGCCGCGUGUGUGAAGAAGGCCUUCGGGUUGUAAAGCACUUUUGUCCGGAAAGAAAUCCUUGGUUCUAAUACAGUCGGGGGAUGACGGUACCGGAAGAAUAAGCACCGGCUAACUACGUG
rnacentral:rRNA from 1 species